GCCAGCAUGCUGUAGUGGUUUGAGCAUUAGACUAUGACUCUGGAGACCAGGGUUCAAAUCCCAUUUGGGCC
rnacentral:tRNA from 1 species